CCUCCUCGAGCACUCCCGCACUCGCGCCCGCUCCUCCCGCACGCGCGCCGCGCCCUCACCUCUCUCUCCCCUCCAAACCCUACCCCGCCGCCGCCGCUGCUCGCCCGGGCACCCAUCCCCUGCCUCACGCCACCCAUCUAGAGAGAUGGGGCCGCGGGCGAAGAGGCCGACGUGCCGUCGUCUCGUCUUCUGCCGCGCCCGCCUCCCUGCCCCGCCGUCGCCGCUGCUGCUCGCUCGGGCACCCAUCCUCGGCCUCACACCACCCAUCUAGAGAGAUGGGGGCCACGGGUGAUGAGGCCGGCGUCUCAUCGUCCCGUCUUCUGCGAGGUCGAGGAGAGCCAAUCCCACCUCGCCGCGCGCAGCCGACCGGGACGGGGCCGCGGGCGAGGGGGCUCAGCCUCGCCCCCCUCGAUCUGGAUGUCGCCGUCGCCGUGGUUUGCCCCCUUCGCCUCUUCUAUCCAGCCGUGUAACUCGAGCCGGCAAUAUCCAGCAAUGGCGCGGCGGUCAACUCUGCCUUCCCGAGCCCGACGAGAAGGGGUUGCGCGGCUGUCCCUCCCCAUGCGGUGAUGGAAAAAGGAGGUGCAUUGAGGUGAAGCACAGACAGCUCCCAUCCUAGCCGUAUUUGGCCCUCUCAAGCAGAUUUUGUUUCUGUACGCCUCCAAGAUGUUCGAUGAAAUUGCAUGAAGCUGGUGUCUGGUGAGCGAUCUGGCCUUGACCAUAGAGCCUUUCUUUUCUUCUGCAGCUCAUGCUUUAUAGAAGUGUCUACAUGCAUUUUCUAACUUGCGUUUCACCUACUUUCUGCGAAAUUCUCAUGCAUUGUCUCGAUAGCGAGCUAUUUAGCCAAAUGAGGUAUUCAACUGGACUACAUAUUUAGAUUCUUAGAUGAGCUAGACAGUGCCUGCAUUGUCUAGACAACUACCUAGCAAAAUGAGUUAUUCGACUGAACAGUUCUGUUCGGAUGAUUGUCUUGGUGUUAGUAACCUACAUAUUCAGAUUCCUGCAUGAGCUUCAGAAAUUCGAAUAUGUAGGUGCAGUCUCACACAAAGAAAGAGAAAAGACUCGGGGUCAACGACUCAUGAAUGGAAAUAAAAACACGAGCGGGAAUCAUUUACUGUUUUCCCUAGCUUAGAGUAUAAUUAUAUGAUCGCUUCACGGUUCUUUCCCUGAAGAUGUUUGGUAUAUGCUCAUCUUGUGCAUUUUACCCUUUGGCUAAUUGCCCCCUUUUUCUCCUUUUUCACUGUUCUCUUGUGAUGAAAGAGCUUCUAAUGAUCUUGCAGUCAAGGGCAAAAAAAAACUCACAAAAAUAUGAGCCCUGUGACCAUGAUCCGCUUGCAGCAAAUCUGGCUUAUUCGCUCUCUAUUGAGAAUAUUCCUUUUGGCAUGUUGGUUAUCCCUUUGCAAUGAACUGCAUUAUUGAAUCAAAAGGUAGCUAUUUCAUGGGAAUGUAAAAUUUCAUAUUUAUUCACAUGGUUGCGGAUUAUUAUUCUUUAUUGUGAUUUAGAAAGUUUAAUUUUAGUGACAUGUGGUUGUAAUGAGUUAGACAAUAACCCGCAUAUGCUGUUAAUCCGAAGUCAUAUUACACAGUUUCAUCUUCGCUAUUGUCGCGGCAUCGUGUGACAGAAGUUACUCCAGCUGUAUGUAUGUACCAUCCUUUUCCUACUCAAGUAUCAAGUGGCUGAUAUGUUGCUCUCACCUACAUCAUCUUUUCUUGCAGGCACCUUUUCUUAGCUGCAAUAUUUCAUUUGGAUCUCACAGCAACAUAUAUUUUCUACUUAAUACUCUACAGGCAUAAUGUUACUGAUUUGUUUCCAGUCUAUCUGAAUUUUGUAUAGUUUUUAUAGUGCCUAUGCUCAUGAGCUAAUUCUGAUAUUUUUUGUAGAGCUUCCAUAUUAUCAUUAGGAAGAAUAAGCCUGACAAGUAUUGUCCACUGCUAAUUGCAUUAGCUUUGUCUCGGAAGUUCUCUGUAAUGGUAAGCUAUUAGCUAUCGUAGGUGUUCUUUGAUUAACGAAAACAGUGCCUUACUAUUAUCGAUGUUUCCAGAGAAGCGUUUCCAAUUGUCUGUCAUCUCAAUUGUAUUUAUGAGCAGAUAAAAUAUCUAGUAUAACACCUGCUGGUAUGAACUACUUGGCUAUAUUUAUGUAACUUAUAUGUUUAUGUUUUGUACUAUCUGAUGCAAGUCAGUUGUCCUGAGCAAACAUUGUGCCCUGCUUUUGGUACAAAUUGUGCCUUUAUGCUUUAUAGUGAAAUUGCGGUUUUCCUGGGCAACAACUACACUUUGUUUUUGAUAUAUAUUUAAUCAGUAUGCUUUAUACAUAUUUAUUCUAUGUGGUUACUCUAUACUAAACAUAUCUGUUGAACCGGAAGUUUUGUUGUACUGUCGAACCAUGCCUCCUGCUAACUGAUCAUUACCUAUUUGACCACAUAGUUGGAACUGGCACCCCGCGCCAAGGCGCGCUCCUGAUCUAGUUGCAUGAGAUUCGACCAGCCGGGGCGCUUGGCCUAACUGAACCGAUCGGUUCUUCAAGUAAUAAAGAAAGUCGGUUCCCUCGUAUAUGUGAUGACUAGUCGGUUACUCCACAAAUGCAAAACAUAUUGUUUUUUGCAUCGAGAAUUUGGCUCGGUUUCGGUUAUAACCGAUAUUUUCUGGGAGGAACAAAUCAAGAGUCAAAUUUUGAGCCAUAAACAAUGGAGUAACCGACUCCUCAGAAACAAUGGAGUAACUCCAUUGUUUUUUGCACCGAGAAUUUGGCUCGGUUUCGGUUCAUUCGACGGUUGUAUCGCUGCACCCUGCUCUAUCUUUCUGUUGUGACUUCCCGUCCCAAACCUCUCAGCCGUCAGCGGCAUAGAAAGCCGCAAGAUGGUGCUAUAACUUCUCUUCGAGUCUGCGCUCUUCCACGCCUAUUGCAUCAACGAGAUUGGGUAGAGUGUGGAAAUCAUCCACUCCUCCGCGUUGGACAUCAAUUGUUUCAGCAAAGCCUUCAAGCUCGCCAGGUACCAUGACAGAUGAGUUGAGGAACUUCCUACAGUCCAGUCUACCAAAUAUGAAGGAGGGGAAGAAGAACGUUCAGUUUCGACAUCACGGAGCCCAAGGUUGGGUUCCACAUCACUGAGGCCACCAGAAUACGUUACGAGUCCAACCAGUAUGUGUAUUAAACUACUUCAUGCCGUGUGACUGCAUUUAGAGUAGUUCAUCAACCAUCCUUUGUUUUCCCCUUUGUUGUCGUCCUUCUUUUAGUUUCGGUUUGGGGUUAGGCCACGAGUAGAGGUCAUGUCAUCCUAACUCUUGAGAUUCGAUGUUUGGUCGGUGGUCUCUGGGCUAUGUGUUUUCACUUUGAUUUGAUGGAAUUUUGGGGUUAUGCCUAUUUGUGAUGGUGCUCAGAUGCUAUGGUUCUUGCAUUGGGGAGCGGUGUAGUCUAUCUCUUUAUUAGGGGCAAUGUCUCACGAUUUUGUCUAUUGUUUUUGUUUCUCUAUAUUGGUCUGUUGGAGUCUUUUUGUUUCUUUCUACCUUUGUUGCCUAGGCCUUUGUUCUUGCGUAUGUGGUUGGCUCGUGUUCUUCCAAUAUAAGGAACACUGAGGCAACCUUAGGACGAUGUCUCGCUUAAAACAUAGCAACACGAGAGCAAUUAUAAGAGAGAUACUGGGAGCGACGACGAAGAUAUACCCUAGGUAGCCUAGCCUGUGGCCUGGGGCGUGAGGCCCAAUUCUUGUGUUGAUUGUAGCAAUCACUGUAGCUAGCUACAUUGCUACCGUGCUCCAAGGUGACCCGAGGUGGCAUGAAGCCUGGCCCAAUCCUGACAAGCCACUAGCUAGCAGUGUGGCAAAGCGCGCAUCCGCUUCUAGUGGGAGAUUAAAGUGCCACUGGGAUCUCCGGAAUUUUCAAACAACCAACUAUUUCGGUUUUGAAUUCAGCCAAAUGGCCAGAAUGUCCACUUGAAUUUGACCGAGAAAUCCAACCAAAACUUGACAUAAGUUUGAACUGUACCAACUUAGGGCAUUGAUAACGGAACACUUUAGCUAUAUGUAAGUUGUUUGCUUUUCAAAUUUAAAUAAGUCGACUUCUUGAUCAUUGAUUCUUUCGUUGAUGUUAGGUGAUUGCAAAUGUAUAGAUGUAAUUAUUAUACAAUAUGUGUGUAAAUUAUAUUAGAGUGCGAAAAUUAUAAUAUUAUAUGUUUAUUCUCUGCAUAUUACAAAAUGUGCAAUUUCAAAGCAAAUUAGUGUGCAAGUCUUUUUAACAAAAUCAUUUUCUUUCUUUUUAAAGGGUAAUACCGGUGUCACUAAUUCAUUAGAAGAAUUCAUUUUGAAUAUGGUUUUAGUUUUUAUUUUAGCCCUCUGGGUCUGGGGCUGCCGGUUUGUCGUCGUCUCAUGACGGCGGCGGCAUGGUGGUCAAUGUGCGGGGCGAGGGCGGGUGCCCUUCUAUGGCUGGCGUGCUUCAGGCGGCGGUGCUCCGGCGGCUCAAGGCCAUGCAGGAGCUGCGGGUGACGGCAAUCCGGUCGUGCUCCUGUGACAUCGUCAUCUGCAUGGACGUCAGGGUGGAGCCCACGGUGCGUGCGCUGGAAAAGGCAAUUCGACUUGAAUUCUUUCGAAUUAUGAAUUGCUCAGUACUAUCAGUGCCUCAGUACGGCCAACGACAUUCACGAGUGCCCGAAUUAGUCAACGGAGUACUGUAUAAUAUAGUCGCAAGUUGACUGCUUCUUCAGUCAGCAUAGUCAACAUGGUUUGAUUCAGUAUCAUGCGAAAUUCAAUUAUACUACUACUACUUGC